rnacentral:rRNA from 1 species
UACGAAGGGGGCUAGCGUUGCUCGGAAUCACUGGGCGUAAAGGGUGCGUAGGCGGGUUUUAAGUCAGGGGUGAAAUCCUGGAGCUCAACUCCAGAACUGCCUUUGAUACUGAAGAUCUUGAGUCCGGGAGAGGUGAGUGGAACUGCGAGUGUAGAGGUGAAAUUCGUAGAUAUUCGGAAGAACACCAGUGGCGAAGGCGGCUCACUGGACUGGUAUUGACGCUGAGGUGCGAAAGCGUGGGGAGCAAACAGGG